rnacentral:rRNA from 1 species
UACGAAGGGGGCUAGCGUUGUUCGGAAUUACUGGGCGUAAAGCGCGCGCAGGCGGUCUUCCAAGUCAGUGGUGAGAGCCCGGAGCUCAACUCCGGAACUGCCAUUGAAACUGUGAGACUUGAGGAUGAGAGAGGUGAGUGGAAUUCCCAGUGUAGAGGUGAAAUUCGUAGAUAUUGGGAAGAACACCGGUGGCGAAGGCGGCGCUCUGGACCGAGACUGACGCUGAGGCGCGAAAGCGUGGGGAGCAAACAGG